rnacentral:rRNA from 1 species
UACGGAAGGCAGCAGUGGGGAAUAUUGCACAAUGGGCGCAAGCCUGAUGCAGCCAUGCCGCGUGUAUGAAAAAGGCCUUCGGGUUGUAAAGUACUUUCAGUCGUGAGGAAGGUGUUAAGGUUAAUAACCUUAGCAAUUGACGUUAGCGACAGAAGAAGCACCGGCUAACUCCGUGCCAGCAGCCGCGGUAAUACGGAGGGUGCGAGCGUUAAUCGGAAUUACUGGGCGUAAAGGGCACGCAGGCGGUUAAUUAAGUUGGAUGUGAAAUCCCCGGGCUUAACCUGGGAAUGGCAUUCAAGACUGGUUAGCUAGAGUCUUGUAGAGGGGGUAGAAUUCCGAUGUGUAGCGGUGAAAUGCGUAGAGAUGUGGAGGAAUACCGGUGGCGAAGGCGGCCCCUGGACAAAGGCUGACGCUCAUGUGCGAAAGCGUGGGGAGCGAAACAGGGAUUAGAUA